GUGCAAAAUCAAUAUUUGUAUUGUAUCAAGUUAUCUUUCUUUUGAUAAAAAAGUGAAAAAGUAACUAACUUAUAAAGAAAAAUUUAUAUUUAGAUAAUAGAAAUUUAAUAUUUCUACUGUUAAAUUGAUAGCAGAUUCAUUGAAAUGCAGAAAGAAAUAAAGUAGAAAAUUAUUAAAUAUUUUAACAAAUUGAUACUUAACAAAAAUAUAAAAAUAAAAUCCAAAAUCUUUAACUUUUUUGAUAAAUAAUUAAAAUUAAAACUUUUAAAGAUUUUAUUUUUCUUCUAUUAUAUUAGGUUAUAGUUUUUGUAAUGUUUUGUAAAAUAAUAAAAUUUUAAUCCUUUCUCUAAUAUUAAAAUAUUCUUUUUCAUUCUACCUAUGAGUAAUUAAAUCUAUGAAAAUUUAAUAUAAUUUUCAAUCUUAUAUCUAAAAAUUAUCCAUUAUUUAUUCUUUUUAUUCCCUCUAUUCACAUUAACCUAUCAAUUCAUCUGCUUUAAAUCAAUCUUCUCAUUUCAAAAUCAGAAAUUUUUCUCCAUUUCUCCAGAAUAAAAAUGUUUCAUUCCAUGAUCAUUUUAUUGUAAGAAAUAAAAAAAUAGAAUUCGUCUAACCUUGAAAUUAUUCGCACAGUAAAUUCCAUCCAAAAAGAACAAACACACCACAAUUCAAAGAUCAACCAUAGAAUAUUUUAUCCUAGCGCUUUCCCUUCGAAACUUUUGCAAAUGAAUUGUCUAUGCCUGCCCUCUAUCGGUUGAAUUUCCUUCGAUCGGGCCGCCAUUACGAUAGCGAACCGAUGAGGAAGAUAAGGUUAACAAUAUCGAGGAUAUUCCCGAGCUAUCGACGAGUACUAUAGUUUAAUGUCAUUGAAUUACUCUCUAUUGGAAGUGCACCCUUUAUCUCUGAAAUUGAGUGCCAAUUUCACUUUAUUAGCUUGUGGACAAUUGUGAUUCAAUACUGAGUAAUCGAGUUCCAUUGUGUAAUGACACCUGCUACGAAGAUAAGUAAGUUCCAAUUGCAUGACAAUGAAGAAUGCUUCAAGACACCGUUGAGCUUCUUGCCGGUACUUAAUACGCUCGAUCGAAGAACGAAUGAAAAUUCCAUGGAAGGGGAUGGGUCUGCUAUUGGCCGAUAGAAUAUUCGCCGAGGUAUUAUUCAAAUUAGAUGGAAUCGACUGUCGUCGACCGCGGGUUAGGACCGUUUGUAAUAGAGCUAGGCCAGAAUUCGAAAUGCCACCGAUAAAGGAUGGGUUUCACCCGCGUUCCGAGAAGAACAUUCCCCUUUGUCGUUGAUACUCGCUCAACGACACGCUCACGUCGACCGAAAACUUCACGAUGUCUUCAAUCCACUUCUGGUGAACAGUAAUCUUUUAGAGACUUUCAGAAAUAUUGAGAUCGGAUGAAGAAAUUAAGACAAGGAUCGUUUCAACUUUCAACUUUGUCUUUAAAGGAUCUUGGAUCUUUAUUGUGCAAAUUAUAAGUUUGUAUGAAGUUGUUGUUGAAAUGUAAAGCAAAGAAAAAAAAUGUAUUGGAUAUCACAAAAGCUAAUUGAAUAAACUGAGAAAAAAAAAUUAAAUGUACUGAGAAAGGAUCUUGCUAAAUUUAGAUUAUUUUUUAUCUUCGAGAUAUUAAAUUAUUGGAUAUAAUAAUAUAUUACUAUUGAUAAUAUCGAAAAAUGUUUUUAAAUAUCUGAGAAAAGUAGGAUGAAUAAUUCUGUCUCACACGAAACUUUAUGAAUAUAAUAUAAAACAUAAUGAAUUGAUUACAUAUGAAAAAUUUUUUUAAAGUUUCAAUAUUAUUUAUAAUUGUGUAUUACAAUUUUUGUUUUUUAAUCAAAUAUCCCAUUGUAAAAAUUUCCAACUAAAAUUAUAUAAAAUAUGAAAAAAAUUAAAUAAAAUAUUAUAGAAAAUAAAUAAAAAUUUGAGAUCCUCAAAAA